rnacentral:rRNA from 1 species
GACGAACGCUGGCGGCGUGCUUAACACAUGCAAGUCGAACGGAAAGGCCCUGCUUUUGUGGGGUGCUCGAGUGGCGAACGGGUGAGUAACACGUGAGUAACCUGCCCUUGACUUUGGGAUAACUUCAGGAAACUGGGGCUAAUACCGGAUAGGAGCUCCUGCUGCAUGGUGGGGGUUGGAAAGUUUCGGCGGUUGGGGAUGGACUCGCGGCUUAUCAGCUUGUUGGUGGGGUAGUGGCUUACCAUGGCUUUGACGGGUAGCCGGCCUGAGAGGGUGACCGGCAACAUUGGGACUGAGAUACGGCCCAGCCUCCUACGGGAGGCAGCAGUGGGGAAUAUUGCACAAUGGGCGGAAGCCUGAUGCAGCAACGCCGCGUGCGGGAUGACGGCCUUCGGGUUGUAAACCGCUUUCGCCUGUGACGAAGCGUGAGUGACGGUAAUGGGUAAAGAAGCACCGGCUAACUACGUG